AUGGUAGGCGCUCCGAAAACAUAUCCGCGUUCAGGAAAAGUUGGGCUUGCCGGAAAAGGGAGAAGGCUUCGAGAUGCCCAGCUCCCCAGUCCUGAAUGCAUCUGCCCUCGGCGGAGAGAGACAGCUGGGGGCCUCAGAGGGAAUGGCAGGGGCUGGGGCGACCGACGGGCUGAUGCUAAAUUCGGGAGCUGGGAUUUUAUUCUGAAAGCGAGGGGAAGCCCUGCGGAGUUCUCUUGGCUGGGGUGUGACCUCCGGUGGCCGCGGGGCCCAGGCGCUGGGGUCGUCUCCUGGAGAGAUCGGAAGCCCCUCGGACUGCGGGGACUGAGGGAACAGGGACGCUGCCGGGACCUGCGGCGGCCCCACCGGGAGGGGGCCAGGGGAGCGCAGGGUGCGCGGGGCGGGGCGGCGCAAGCCAAUGGGCGGACACGGGGCGGGGCGCAGGAAGCGGGGCGGGCUCGCCCGGCGCCCAGGAAAGCCCCGAGCGGCGCGGCCAGGGAAGGGACGGCCUCCCGGGGGGUCCCCUACUUCCCGCUCUGGGGCCGGCGCGGCGAAUGGACCUGGAGGGCGCAGGCAAAGGCCCAGCUUCACAAAGUAAACACGAGCACGUAUAACCUGAUCAAGAAACGAAGCAUGACCAGCACCUCCCACAGAAGUUUCUCUCCCGCCCACCCUCUCCCAGGACACUCUCCCAGCCACUAACCCCAAGAUUGGUUUGUCUCCUUUUGGACUUUUUCUGAAUGGAGCACGUAUCGCCCUUCCAAGCCCAGCCUCCUUCGCUCAGCUUGUGCUCUGAGACCCUGUCUGGGUGUCACGCCAUUUGCUGUGUUCAGGGUUGCAGAGUGGUCACUAGGCCCUGGGAGACGGGCUCUGUCACCUGUCCCGUCAGCUCUGCCCCAGGCCUCUCUGCCCAGCCAUGCCAGCCAUGGUCCCUUUGCCCCUCCUCAACCACCCCAGGAGGCAAAGUGGUCUUGCUCUCAUUUCACAGAU
rnacentral:lncRNA from 1 species